rnacentral:rRNA from 1 species
GAGUUUGAUCUUGGCUCAGGACGAACGCUGGCGGCGUGCUUAAUACAUGCAAGUCAACGAGAAACAGGGUGCUUGCAUCCUGUGGACAGUGGCGCACGGGUGCGUAACACGUAGGUAAUCUGCCCUUAGGACUGACAUAACUCCGGGAAACCGAAGCUAAUAUCAGAUAAUGCAGCGGCUCGGCAUCGAGACAGUUGUUAAAUCUUCGGAGCCUAAGGAUGAACCUGCGUCCCAUUAGGUAGUUGGUGAGGUAAAUGCUCACCAAGCCUGCGAUGGGUAGCUGGUCUGAGAGGAUGAUCAGCCACACUGGAACUGAGACACGGUCCAGACUCCUACGGGAGGCAGCAGUAAGGAAUAUUGCUCAAUGGGAGAAAUCCUGAAGCAGCAACGCCGCGUGGAGGAUGAAGGCAUAUUUGUUGUAAACUCCUGUAAGAAGGGAAAAUGGGUCUGUUUACAGACUUUGAUUGUACCUUCAGAGUAAGCCCCGGCUAACUACGU